GAUUACUUGUCUGACGUUUCUCAGUGAAAAGCUCCAUUGAAAGUGGAUUAGAGUAAGUCUCACGUCUUCCUUCUUAAGUGAAAGAAAACACAACUGUCUGAUCUACUUUCUCAAGGGUCCAACUCAGUUCCAAAUCUUCAAGAAGCUGUCCCAUGAGCCAGUGCAAACACACAUGCCAUCUUCUGGUACUCCAGUGCAGCUCACCCUGUUGUCAUGGCCAGACAACACGCCUGCAAAAGAGAAAGGAAGGAAUUGUAGACUGUACACAUGUUGUCCAGACCACCGCUGGCCACAAGGUUUCCAGAAGGAGCAUAUGCACAUGUCAUCACCCAUGAGGACUUGAGGGGAACAGCAUUGACCUGCAGGAAGAGGAAAAUAUUAUAACAUUUCCCUGAAGGUUCCCCCAACAGACUGGAUGCAACUUACCUGUGGAAAAACUCUCUUUCUCUUCCCUGUCUGCAAGAGAGGAACAGAUGAGGAUUGGAGGGGAUGAAGGAGAUCAGGGAUGAAAGGAUAAGCCCAAAGAA